UGGCUCUCUUUACUCCAAGUCUGUCUCUCUCUCCCUCCCAGUGAUGGCUCUCUUUACCCACAGUCUGUCUGUCUCUCCCUCAGCGAUGGCUCUCUACCCCAAGUGUCUGUCUCUCUCUCCCUCAGCGAUGGCUCUCUUUACCCCAAGUGUGUCUCUCUGUCUCUCUCUCUCCCUCCCAGUGAUUGCUCUCUUUACCCCAAGUCUGUCUCUCUCCCAGUGAUGGCUCUUUACCCCAAGUCUCUGUCUCUCUCUCCCUCCCAGUGAUGGCUCUCUUUACCCCAACUGUCUGUGUCUCUCAAUCUCUCUCUCUCUCUCCCCCUCCCAGUGAUGGCUCUCUUUACCCCAAGUCUGUCUCUCCCCCUCAGUGAUGGCUCUCUUUACCCCAAGUCUGUCUCUCUCUCCCCCUCAAUGAUG